rnacentral:lncRNA from 1 species
AACGCUACAAAACUGAAACAGGAAAACGCACUACUUCAGGUUCAACUGAAGAAUUACAAGACGGAGAACGAAGCGCUGCGGUCGGGCCAGUCGGCGAGCCUGGCCGUGGUGAAGCAGAACGCAGAGCUCGCCCUCCAGAACCUGCUCACGGUCAUCACCAACUCCCGCUCCUCCAUCAGGCAGCUGGUCUCCGGAGCAGAAUCGCUGCAGCUUGUUGCCGAUCUCCUUAAAUCAAUAGACAGAAUUUCUGAAGUGUCGGAACACGGACAGUGACUCAAACACAACGGACUCAAACGGAGAACUUGGCUUUCGUGCAGAAAUCAUGUUAAAAAAGUUAAUUUCUGACAUUCCACCUCGUGACAAGGUGCGAAGCUCUUGGCGCUGCUGCAGAAAUGGCUGUUCUGGAUCGUGAGAACCGAAUGGACCAGAGUACGUCCUUGUCCUGCGAGGCUGGGACCACGGCCACCCCCUCACACCCCACAUUCCCGCGGGCACCCCGGAUUUUGGCUGAGACCCCCCCAAGUGCCCCAGGUUUUGGCUGUGAUGCCCAUUUGCCUUUCCGUGCCCAUU